CACACGCACACACCAGUCCCACGCUUCUCAGUGAUGAGUUACACUUCAGUUACCUCUGUGAUGGGAACGUGGAAUUUAAACGGAUGGCUGCCUCCUUGCACAAAUGGAGGAAAUGAGCUCUGCUUUACUGCACAUCCCACUCGGGUUGGAACCACGGCGGCUUCUGCUACGGUGGACUGGAGAUGACUGUGAUAACUGAGAAACUGACUGAAGAACAGUCUUACUGUGCAUGUAGUUCACAACAGAAGCAAGUUCAAAGGAGGUUAUUCUAGACUUCAGGAAGGGGUAAUUUGACCCUGCACCCCCACUCAUCAGUGGCUCAGUAUUAGAGAGAGUCAGUAGUACCAAGUUUCUUGGUGUACACAUCUCUGAUGACUUCAUCUGGACUACCAACACUAACUCCUAUGUGAAGAAGGACCAACAACGUUUUCACUUCCUGAGGAGGCUAAAAAAAGCGAGCCUCCCACCACCCAUACUUACCACCUUCUACAGAGGAACUGUGAAGAGUGUCCUGACCAGGUGCAUCACUGUGGUGUUCAGAAACUGCAAAACGUUAGAACCCAAGACCCUACAGCACAUAUUGAGGACAGCUAAGAGGAUCAUAGGAGUCCCUCCCCUCUAUCCAGGACAUAUUCAAUACACGAUGCAUACGCAAAGCUGCUACCAUUGUGAAGGAUCCCUCUCACUCUCUCACUUUUCAAAAGCUUGCAAUUAGGCAGGAGGUUUAGAAGCAUCAGGAUCCACACUACAAUGUUCUGCAACAGCUUCUUUCCCCAAACUGUCAGAGCCCUAAACACCCUGGUGCCACCCAUGACCUUGCUUCCUCCUCCUUAACUGUGCACUAUAGACAUUAAUGAUCACUACAUGUACAUUAACACUCACUUGCACUCAACCACUUUACUGUGCAUAACAAAAUGCACACUGGUCAUUGUAGCACAUCUGCAGACAUCUGCAAUCAGGGACUUAACUGUUGACUGUUUAAUAUAGACCUCCCCUUAUUUAGCAAAAAUAUGCACACUGGAUAUUGCACACACUUGCACACAGUCACCUCUGACUGUGCACUUGCACUUUACACUUACAUUACUUACAUUUAUCACAUCUACCUCAUAUUUAUCGCACCUUAACUCCGCUAUGUUUAAUGUUUACUCUUUAUUUAUGUCUGUUUACUCUACUGUUCACUGUCCAUGCACAUUGGUCCGUAGUAACGACAUUUAAUUUUUUUUGUAUACUGUGCAUGUGGAAGAACGACAAUAAAGCUUGAGUUGAGUUGAGCAGUUCAAGCAAGUUAAAGUGAGGAACAGUUAGCAUAAUGCUAGUUUUCUUUACUUGAACCAUUAGUACCCAUGGGAGAGAUUAUACCCAUUG